UACGUAGGGGGCAAGCGUUGUCCGGAUUUAUUGGGCGUAAAGAGCGUGUAGGCGGCCAUACAGGUCAGCUGUGAAAACUCGAGGCUCAACCUCGAGACGUCGGUUGAAACCGUAUGGCUAGAGUCCGGAAGAGGAGAGUGGAAUUCCCGGUGUAGCGGUGAAAUGCGCAGAUAUCGGGAGGAACACCGGUGGCGAAGGCGGAUCUCUGGGCCUUACCUGACGCUCAGGCACGAAAGCGUGGGGAGCAAACAGG
rnacentral:rRNA from 1 species